ensembl:ncRNA lncRNA:CR43811 long non-coding RNA:CR43811
AGUCUAUAAAUAGCAAAUGGUAAGAAACGCGCCUCCGCGCCGAAAUAAAUGCAAAUCAUCCGUCUGGACUCAAAACUGGAAAAUAAAACAAAGAUCGCCGCGUUUUCGACCACUUCUCACACCAAAUUCAGAGGGCCAUGGCGGCAGCAACAUCAAGUUGCCGCUGCAACAAAAAAAACACCGCGCUUAGUUGCAACAAUGGUCGCGACAACACUAACAAUGCCAGCGAUGGCAGCAGCAACAGCAACAACUGCUGCAGCAGCAGCAACAUCCAAUGCUGCUUGAAAAAGGUGCGCCUGACUGGGGCUAUUGGAAUUUAUUUUGGUUCUACAGCAACUGCAACACUAAAAGCAGCAACAGCAGCAGCGGCAGCAGCAACAACGUGCAACAAGCAUCAACAGGUGAUUCGCCUGAAUGUUGCACGAAAUGGGCAAAACAAAUUCGAGGAAAAAAUCAUCUUAAAUGCUUCUGCCGAAGAAUUUGAGUCUGUUCUUUUAAAUGUUAAUUUUUUUUUUAUUUCGUCUUCCACUUGCCUGCAACAAUUCAAUAAAGUUUAAAAUGUCAACAGCUGGGCGACAGAAACGAG